CCUCAAAAGAAAAAUAAGAGAGCCCUGGCUUUCUUCAGAGGAAAAAAAAAACCUCAUCUGGAGAUCCAAAGAAGACAUGUGGAAAUGUCUCCUCAAGGUUAAUAGGCCUGAAACUUGCCCCACCAUAUUGAAUCA